CAGUAGCCGCGGUAAUACGUAGGUCCCGAGCGUUGUCCGGAUUUAUUGGGCGUAAAGGGAGCGCAGGCGGUUUAGUAAGUCUGAAGUUAAAGGCAUUGGCUCAACCAAUGUAUGCUUUGGAAACUGUUAGACUUGAGUGCAGAAGGGGAGAGUGGAAUUCCAUGUGUAGCGGUGAAAUGCGUAGAUAUAUGGAGGAACACCGGUGGCGAAAGCGGCUCUCUGGUCUGUCACUGACGCUGAGGCUCGAAAGCGUGGGUAGCGAGCAGGAUUAGAUACCCCAGUAGUCCCUGUCUCUUAUACA
rnacentral:rRNA from 1 species